AAAACGUAUUGGAUUAUUUGUUAUUUUCUUUCUUGAAUGUUUUCAUACUUAUUUUUUGUUAUUGGUGUCAUUUUGAUCUUGUAGAUCAUGAGGGAGAUAAUAUUUGUCACACCUUGAGCAUUGGAACAACUUAAACACCUUAUGCUGGGCAAUAGGGUCCAUAUCUGGUUCCAUGAUGGAAGAACAAGAUGGGGAAACAUUGGACAAUGAGUUGGAGGUUGUUGAGGGAAUGAAGCUAGACAGGGGUUACAUAUCCCCUUAUUUUAUCACCAACUAGAACAAUCAGAAAUGUUUAUGAUUUCAGAUCUGUAGAUAACCUGUUGUUGCUGAUAUUGCUACACGGGAGGAGAAUAGAACAGCUUGGAAAAUGUGCAAGAAGGGAGAGCUAACUCAUACAACGAAGAACAAAUUGAUGAAGUUAAGAUCAAAUUAGUAGAAUUUGUGAGCUCUCCAUUAUUUAUAAUUAUAGGUAGGAAGUAUGUAUGUAAUAGAGCAAAGAUUGGUUGACUAUGUAAUAACAAUUGAAUUUUCAAGUUUUA